GGCCUCGUGGCCUAAUGGAUAAGGCGUCGGACUUCGGAUCCGAAGAUUGCAGGUUCGAGUCCUGCCGGGGUCG
rfam:Nippostrongylus brasiliensis genome assembly, scaffold: NBR_scaffold0002823